GACGAACGCUGGCGGCGUGCCUAAUACAUGCAAGUUGAGCGCUGAAGGUUGGUACUUGUACCAACUGGAUGAGCAGCGAACGGGUGAGUAACGCGUGGGGAAUCUGCCUUUGAGCGGGGGACAACAUUUGGAAACGAAUGCUAAUACCGCAUAAAAACUUUAAACACAAGUUUUAAGUUUGAAAGAUGCAAUUGCAUCACUCAAAGAUGAUCCCGCGUUGUAUUAGCUAGUUGGUGAGGUAAAGGCUCACCAAGGCGAUGAUACGUAGCCGACCUGAGAGGGUGAUCGGCCACAUUGGGACUGAGACACGGCCCAAACUCCUACGGGAGGCAGCAGUAGGGAAUCUUCGGCAAUGGACGAAAGUCUGACCGAGCAACGCCGCGUGAGUGAAGAAGGGUUUCGGAUCGUAAAACUCUGUUGGUAGAGAAGAACGUUGGUGAGAGUGGAAAGCUCAUCAAGUGACGGUAACUACCCAGAAAGGGACGGCUAACUACGUG
rnacentral:rRNA from 1 species